rnacentral:miRNA from 1 species
ACAGGCCGGCAGGUUUGAGCA